rnacentral:rRNA from 1 species
UACGAAGGGUGCAAACGUUGCUCGGAAUCAUUGGGCGUAAAGCGCACGUAGGCGGCCUCAAAAGUCGGAUGUGAAAUCCCGUGGCUCAACCAUGGACGUGCAUUCGAAACUGCGAGGCUUGAGUGUGGAAGAGGGUCGCGGAAUUCCCGGUGUAGAGGUGAAAUUCGUAGAUAUCGGGAGGAACACCAGUGGCGAAGGCGGCGACCUGGGCCAAUACUGACGCUGAGGUGCGAAAGCGUGGGGAGCAAACAGG